UGAUGCAGCCAUGCCGCGUGUGUGAAGAAGGCCUUCGGGUUGUAAAGCACUUUCAGUAGGGAGGAAAGGUUGCAGUUUAAUAAACUGUAGCUGUGACGUUACCUACAGAAGAAGGACCGGCUAACUCCGUGCCAGCAGCCGCGGUAAUACGGAGGGUCCGAGCGUUAAUCGGAAUUACUGGGCGUAAAGCGUGCGCAGGCGGUUUGUUAAGCGAGAUGUGAAAGCCCUGGGCUCAACCUAGGAAUAGCAUUUCGAACUGGCGAACUAGAGUCUUGUAGAGGGGGGUAGAAUUCCAGGUGUAGCGGUGAAAUGCGUAGAGAUCUGGAGGAAUACCGGUGGCGAAGGCGGCCCCCUGGACAAAGACUGACGCUCAUGCACGAAAGCGUGGGGAGCAAACAGGAUUAGAUACCCUGGUAGUCCACGCCGUAAACGAUGUCUACUCGGAGUUUGGUGUCUUGAACACUGGGCUCUCAAGCUAACGCAUUAAGUAGACCGCCUGGGGAGUACGGCC
rnacentral:rRNA from 1 species